CUAUCUACAGGCUUAACACAUGCAAGUCGAGGGGCAUCAGGAAGAAAGCUUGCUUUCUUUGCUGGCGACCGGCGCACGGGUGAGUAACACGUAUCCAACCUGCCCUUUACUCGGGGAUAGCCUUUCGAAAGAAAGAUUAAUACCCGAUAGCAUAAUGAUUCCGCAUGGUUUCAUUAUUAAAGGAUUCCGGUAAAGGAUGGGGAUGCGUUCCAUUAGGUUGUUGGUGAGGUAACGGCCCACCAAGCCUUCGAUGGAUAGGGGUUCUGAGAGGAAGGUCCCCCACAUUGGAACUGAGACACGGUCCAAACUCCUACGGGAGGCAGCAGUGAGGAAUAUUGGUCAAUGGGCGCUAGCCUGAACCAGCCAAGUAGCGUGAAGGAUGAAGGCUCUAUGGGUCGUAAACUUCUUUUAUAUAAGAAUAAAGUGCAGUAUGUAUACUGUUUUGUAUGUAUUAUAUGAAUAAGGAUCGGCUAACUCCGUGCCAGCAGCCGCGGUAAUACGGAGGAUCCGAGCGUUAUCCGGAUUUAUUGGGUUUAAAGGGAGCGUAGGUGGACUGGUAAGUCAGUUGUGAAAGUUUGCGGCUCAACCGUAAAAUCGCAGUUGAUACUGUCAGUCUUGAGUACAGUAGAGGUGGGCGGAAUUCGUGGUGUAGUGGUGAAAUGCUUAGAUAUCACGAAGAACUCCGAUUGCGAAGGCAGCUCACUGGACUGCAACUGACACUGAUGCUCGAAAGUGUGGGUAUCAAACAGGAUUAGAUACCCUGGUAGUCCACACAGUAAACGAUGAAUACUCGCUGUUUGCGAUAUACAGUAAGCGGCCAAGCGAAAGCAUUAAGUAUUCCACCUGGGGAGUACGCCGGCAACGGUGAAACUCAAAGGAAUUGACGGGGGCCCGCACAAGCGGAGGAACAUGUGGUUUAAUUCGAUGAUACGCGAGGAACCUUACCCGGGCUUAAAUUGCAGUGGAAUGAUGUGGAAACAUGUCAGUGAGCAAUCACCGCUGUGAAGGUGCUGCAUGGUUGUCGUCAGCUCGUGCCGUGAGGUGUCGGCUUAAGUGCCAUAACGAGCGCAACCCUUAUCUUUAGUUACUAACAGGUUAUGCUGAGGACUCUAGAGAGACUGCCGUCGUAAGAUGUGAGGAAGGUGGGGAUGACGUCAAAUCAGCACGGCCCUUACGUCCGGGGCUACACACGUGUUACAAUGGGGGGUACAGAAGGCAGCUAGCGGGUGACCGUAUGCUAAUCCCAAAAUCCUCUCUCAGUUCGGAUCGGAGUCUGCAACCCGACUUCGUGAAGCUGGAUUCGCUAGUAAUCGCGCAUCAGCCACGGCGCGGUGAAUACGUUCCCGGGCCUUGUACACACCGCCCGUCAAGCCAUGGGAGCCGGGGGUACCUGAAGUACGUAACCGCAAGGAUCGUCCUAGGGUAAAACUGGUGACUGGGGCUAA
rnacentral:rRNA from 1 species